rnacentral:siRNA from 1 species
CGAGAAUCCAGCUCCAACAGAUGC